rnacentral:pre_miRNA from 1 species
UCGAUUGCUCGGCUGUAUUGAUCGAUCACUAUUCUCGUGAGAUGCACUCGAGCGAUGAAUAGAGCCGAGCGAUCGA